AACGAACGCUGGCGGCAGGCUUAACACAUGCAAGUCGAACGCGUGCAGCAAUGCACGAGUGGCGCACGGGUGAGUAACGAGUGGAUAUCUGCCUUUUUGUUCGGAAUAACCCCGGGAAACUGGGGCUAAUACCGGAUGGUUCCUACGGGAUAAAGAUUUAUCGCCAAAAGAUGAGUCCGCGUCCGAUUAGCUAGUUGGUGAGGUAAUGGCUCACCAAGGCGACGAUCGGUAGCUGGUCUGAGAAGACGAUCAGCCACACUGGGACUGAGACACGGCCCAGACUCCUACGGGAGGCAGCAGUGGGGAAUAUUGGACAAUGGGGGCAACCCUGAUCCAGCCAUGCCGCGUGAGUGAUGAAGGCCUUCGGGUUGUAAAGCUCUUUUGGCGGGGACGAUGAUGACGGUACCCGCAGAAUAAGCCCCGGCUAACUUCGUG
rnacentral:rRNA from 1 species